rnacentral:rRNA from 1 species
UACGUAGGGUGCAAGCGUUGUCCGGAAUUAUUGGGCGUAAAGAGCUCGUAGGCGGUCUGUCGCGUCUGCUGUGAAAACUCGGGGCUUAACCCCGGGCCUGCAGUGGGUACGGGCAGACUAGAGUGCGGUAGGGGAGACUGGAAUUCCUGGUGUAGCGGUGAAAUGCGCAGAUAUCAGGAGGAACACCGGUGGCGAAGGCGGGGUCUCUGGGCCGUAACUGACGCUGAGGAGCGAAAGCAUGGGGAGCGAACAGG